UGAUUUUUGCGCGCUUGCGCGCAUCAAGAUUGACGCCGUCACUAUUAGUGGCGAACGGCUGAGUAACUCGUAGGAAUCUACCCUUAACUCAUGGAUAACCAGGAGAAAUCCUGGCUAAUACAUGAUGUGGUGGCAACACUAAAGAUUUAUCGGUUAGGGAUGAGCCUGCGGCCUAUCAGCUAGUUGGUGAGGUAAAAGCUCACCAAGGCUAUGACGGGUACCGGAACUGAGAGGUUGUACCGGCAGAGGGGCACUGAGACACGGGCCUCACACCUACGGGUGGCAGCAAUCGGGAAUCUUGCACAAUGGACGAAAGUCUGAUGCAGCGACGCCGCGUGGAGGAUGAAUGCCUUCGGGUUGUAAACUCCUGUAAAUAGCACCGGCUAACUACGUGCCAGCAGCAGCGGUCAUACGUAGAGUGCAAGCGUUGUUCGGAGUUACUGGGCGUAAAGAGUUCUGUAGGCGGUGGUGUAAGUUGGUGGUGAAAUACUUCGGCUCAACCGAAGAAACGCUUCCAAUACUGCAUUACUGGAGGCAAUUAGGGGAUAGCAGAACGUAUGGAGGAGCGGUGAUAUGCGUUGAUCUCAUACGGAAUACCGAGGGGGUAGCCAGCUAUCUGGGAUUGUCCUGACGCUGAGAGACGAAAGCUUGGGUAGCGAAACGGAUUAGAUACCCGUGUAGUCCAAGCUGUAAACGAUGCCUGUUAGAUACCUGAUUUAUUUUGGGUGUCGAAGCUAACGCGUUAAACAGGCCGCCUGGGGAGUACGGUCGCAAGAUUAAAACUCAAAGGAAUUGGCGGGUUCCCGCACAAGCGGUGGAGCAUGCUCUUUAAUUGGCUGUUAACCCAAGAACCUUACCUGGAUUUGACAUGUUACUGCAGUUGAUUCGAAAGAUGAUACGUCCUUCGAGGGUGUAACACAGGUGUUGCAUGGCUGUCGUCAGCUCGUACCGUGAGGCGUACCCUUAAGUGGGUUAACGAGCGCAACCCCUACCGUUAGUUGUAUCACUCUAGCGGAACUGCCGUCGUAAGGCGGAGGAAGGUGGGGACGACGUCAAGUCGGUAUUGCCUUUAUAUCCAGGGCGAGAAGCAUGCUACAAUGGCGCGUACAACGAGUCGCGACACGGCGACGUGAAGCCAAUCUCUAAAAACGCGUCUCAGUUCAGAUUGGAGUCUGCAAUUCGACUCCAUGAAGUUGGAAUCGCUAGUAAUCGCAGGUCAGCUAUACUGCGGUGAAUACGUUCUCGGGAAUUGCACACACCGCCCGUCUCGUCAGCAAAGCUAAGGUCACCCUAAGUACUGCGUGUAGUGGUCCCAAGGUGAAAUUAGUGAUGAGGAUGAAGUCGUAACAAGGUA
rnacentral:rRNA from 1 species